CCUACGGGGGGCAGCAGUGGGGAAUAUUGGACAAUGGGCGAAAGCCUGAUCCAGCCAUGCCGCGUGUGUGAAGAAGGCCUUCGGGUUGUAAAGCACUUUCAGUGGGGAAGAAAGCCUUGGGGCUAAUACCCUCGAGGAAGGACAUCACCCACAGAAGAAGCACCGGCUAACUCCGUGCCAGCAGCCGCGGUAAUACGGAGGGUGCGAGCGUUAAUCGGAAUUACUGGGCGUAAAGCGCGCGUAGGCGGUCUGAUAAGCCGGUUGUGAAAGCCCCGGGCUCAACCUGGGAACGGCAUCCGGAACUGUCAGGAUAGAGUGCAGGAGAGGAAGGUAGAAUUCCCGGUGUAGCGGUGAAAUGCGUAGAGAUCGGGAGGAAUACCAGUGGCGAAGGCGGCCUUCUGGACUGACACUGACGCUGAGGUGCGAAAGCGUGGGUAGCAAACAGGAUUAGAUACCCUGGUAGUC
rnacentral:rRNA from 1 species